GCCGAGAUAGUCUAGUGGUUAUGACGUCUACCUUACACGCAGAAGGUCGCGAGUUUGAUCCUCUCACCUGGUA
rnacentral:tRNA from 1 species